GUGUGUGUGUGUGUGUGUGUGUGUGUGUGUGUGUGUGUGUGUGUGUUUGUUCAUUUAUUUAUUUUCAAGAGCACAAAUCUACUUUUAUUUAUUUACUCUCCAUUAGUUUAAAUCCGGGAUGGGUACAGCAUCACACGGAUUCUGUGUCCAAUGGCCUUUGCAGGAAGGUUGCUUCGGAAUUUGGCAUGAACCAUGCCACUUUUUCCAUGGGCCCGAGUUACUUUUCCCCAGAUCACUCUGGUUUUGUUUGGUUUGCCUCCAGGAGUCACUGUAUUGUUUUUUGCUUUGUACACAUAAACACACCUCUUGCCUAAGUAGAACUCAGUUUCAUCUCGGGCAUAAACACCUUCAAUUUUAAGAAGAGCCGUGUACUCUCUUUGGUUCAGGAGGCCUGGCUUGUAGCCAGCAAAAAUGGCCUUGCACCACAGCCUUCCAGACAUACUUGUUUUUUUAGAAGUCCUGUUCCCAGUGGGCUUCCAAAGGCGCCAAGAUGGCG
rnacentral:lncRNA from 1 species